rnacentral:tRNA from 1 species
AAGACACUAGUAUAGCUGAAAAUACACUGCUUUGUCAGGGCAGAGUCGUGGGCUAAAAUCCCGCGUGUCUUA